GCUCAACAAUUUGUGACUCGUUAUAUCAUUUCUGAGGUAAUGUCAAGGAUGCCUUAUACUGCAGAUUGUUGGAAAAGUUAUUGCCCUGAAAUGAAAGAAAUGUUAUUUAAUGAUUUUAAGAAUAUGAUCGUGUGAUGGCGAGGGAAGUUUGG